rnacentral:rRNA from 1 species
UGGGGAAUUUUGGACAAUGGCGCAAGCCUGAUCCAGCCAUGCCGCGUGCGGGAAGAAGGCCUUCGGGUUGUAAACCGCUUUGUCAGGGAAGAAAUCUUCUGAGUUAAUACCUCGGGAGGAUGACGGUACCUGAAGAAUAAGCACCGGCUAACUACGUGCCAGCAGCCGCGGUAAUACGUAGGGUGCAAGCGUUAAUCGGAAUUACUGGGCGUAAAGCGUGCGCAGGCGGUUUUGUAAGACAGAGGUGAAAUCCCCGGGCUCAACCUGGGAACUGCCUUUGUGACUGCAAGGGCUUGAGUGCGGCAGAGGGGGGAUGGAAUUCCGCGUGUAGCAGUGAAAUGCGUAGAUAUGCGGAGGAACACCGAUGGCGAAGGCAAUCCCCUGGGCCUGNANUGACGCUCAUGCACG